UUCCCUCGACUGCCUCCUCCUCGCCCGCUCGCUCCCUCGCUCAACCAGCGCCGCUUCCGCCGCCGCCGCCACUGCGCUGCUCGGGGCCGCGCCGCUCCCUUCCCAGCGCCGCGGCAGCUGCAGCGGAUCUCUCCGCCGCGCCUGGCCUGGCCUGGCCUGGCCUGGCCUGGGCGGCGGCGGGCACAGCUGAGGCUCCGCGGCGUGGCUGUCUCGCCCCUUCCCCACCCCUUCGGCUGCCGGCCGAGUUUCUCUUUCUUUUUUUGCCCGUUCUGGUGCGCGGAACGAGACCGGACUUUACGCUUAGGCCUGCGCUGAGAGGAAGGCAGCCAACGAUUUGUGAAGAAGUGACCGUUGAAAAACCCACACGUUUGGGGUUUUAUUUUUGUCUUCCCUAAGGAUGGUGGGGAGGGGGACUGCAAGAUGCCGCCUCGCAGGAGGCAGACCUAAAAAGGCGCCUUAAAAUGAACCCAGAGAGGCGGUAGUCCCUGUGUGCCCCCCCCCCGCCCCAGCGGGUGAGGUGUGUGAGACCCGGGACCCUGGCUGGAGUUACCGCUCAUGUCCGUCUCUGUGGGUGUAACGAGGCCGUGUCGCAGGAACUGAAACGCCCGAUGCGGAAAGCGUUGCCGGGGCGAGGGAUUUCCAGGUGGACAUACCGAGCUGGAGUGGCUUUUAAAAACAACCUUUUUUGGACGAGCACAGGGGAGAAUGCUGGUGUUCAGGUAAAACUGUGAAUAAUCAUAGCGCAGGAUAAUAGUGAAGAAGCAUUUCUACCCGAUGAAUUAACUAUGUCUUUUCAUACUCACAUCGUUUUGCUCCUUGGUACUUGGACAAAAAUCCCUUGAUUUCUAGUCGGAGCCGUGCUUGUCUGUCGACUUCAGGAUUCAGCCAUACAGUUGGACACAGCUGUAAAUGCCCUGUGACAUAAAAAUACACCCCGUCAGCUCUGGAUGGAUAUUGUUUGCACAAAGGGAUAAUAUCUUACACCAAUGCACUUCAAUCUUCCCAAGUCUUAGGAUUUCCUGAAUGGUGCUCUGUCUUUAAUACAGAUUUAAAAUGCCUCUCUCAAGCUUAAACAACUAUCACAUUCGUAAUGUUGGAUGAAUCAAAGUUCAUUAUACAAGUGUAUGUGUUUUUGUUUGAAAGUGCAGAAAUGAAGAUGGCACUGGAGAAUACGGUAAUUCAGUACUGGAAAUACUAGUAUCUAAUGGGUACAUGCUCAUGUAAGUUUAAUGGAGACAGAGUAAACCGGGCUCUGAAAAAAUGUAUUCUAUACCUUUGUUCCAAGUUAAUAUAAAAGGUCCCAAUCCUAUAAUUGUUUAUGCAUUAACAACUUCCAAGUUAUCCAUUUGAAAUAAAGGGAAAUCAUUGGUGUAGUAAA